UACGUAGGGUGCAAGCGUUAAUCGGAAUUACUGGGCGUAAAGCGUGCGCAGGCGGUUUUGUAAGUUUGUCGUGAAAGCCCCGGGCUCAACCUGGGAAUUGCGAUGAAGACUGCAAGGCUUGAAUCUGGCAGAGGGGGUAGAAUUCCACGUGUAGCAGUGAAAUGCGUAGAGAUGUGGAGGAAUACCGAUGGCGAAGGCAGCCCCUGGGCCAAUACUGACGCUCAUGCACGAAAGCGUGGGAGCAAACAGG
rnacentral:rRNA from 1 species